rnacentral:rRNA from 1 species
GAUUAAGUGUCGUAAGGGCAUUUGGUGGAUGCCUUGGCAUGCACAGGCGAAGAAGGACGUGAUACGCUGCGAAAAGCCGUGGGGAGCUGCGAAUAAGCUUUGAUCCAUGGAUAUCCGAAUGGGGAAACCCACCUUAGACAUCUAGAAAAUCUGUUCUGCUGAGAACUGAUGGCUUGCAUGGGGUUUCCCAUACAGGCCUAAAGGCCGUCGCCAAUCGUUUGGCGCGCCGUCCGCAGCGCAGCGAUCCGUGGGUGAUCAAAGAUCAUCCCUUGGAUCGCGACAGCGUGAGGACAAAAAACCCGGAAAGACUGGGUGGUAGGGUUCAGCACAACAGGUUUCUAGAUGUCGCGAUAAGGUAUCUAACUCUGAAUACAUAGGGGUUAGAAGCGAACGCAGGGAACUGAAACAUCUAAGUACCUGCAGGAAAGGACAUCAACCGAGACUCCGCAAGUAGUGGCGAGCGAACGCGGACCAGGCCAGUGGCAAUGAGGAAUAAAGCUGAACAGGUUGGAAAACCUGGCUAUAGUGGGUGAUAGCCCCGUAAGCGUAGAACACUCAUUGUCCUAGAGUAAGGCGGGACACGUGAAAUCCUGUCUGAACAUGGGGAGACCACUCUCCAAGCCUAAGUACUCGUGCAUGACCGAUAGCGAACAAGUACCGUGAGGGAAAGGUGAAAAGCACCCCGACAAGGGGAGUGAAAUAGAACCUGAAACCGGAUGCCUACAAGCAGUCGGAGGGCGCAAGCCUGACGGCGUACCUUUUGUAUAAUGGGUCAACGACUUAGUGUAACUAGCAAGCUUAAGCCGGUAGGUGUAGGCGCAGCGAAAGCGAGUCUGAAUAGGGCGUUUAGUUAGUUGCAUUAGACCCGAAACCGAGUGAUCUAGCCAUGAGCAGGCUGAAGGUUGGGUAACACCAACUGGAGGGCCGAACCCGCAUCUGU